rnacentral:rRNA from 1 species
CCGGCACGGGUGAGUAACACGUAUCCAACCUGCCGUCUACUCUUGGACAGCCUUCUGAAAGGAAGAUUAAUACAAGAUGGCAUCAUGAGUUCACAUGUUCACAUGAUUAAAGGUAUUCCGGUAGACGAUGGGGAUGCGUUCCAUUAGAUAGUAGGCGGGGUAACGGCCCACCUAGUCUACGAUGGAUAGGGGUUCUGAGAGGAAGGUCCCCCACAUUGGAACUGAGACACGGUCCAA